rnacentral:misc_RNA from 1 species
GGGAUUGCUGCAACCCUAAGGGGAAAUGUGAUGUACUCCUUCCUGGAUCGUCUGAUCAACUUGGGGUUGCCUAGAACAAGGGACUUUCAGGGACUGAACUCAAAUAGCUUUGAUGGACAUGGAAAUUACUCCAUCGGUAUCCGUGAACAGAGCGUGUUCCCAGAAAUAAAGUUCGAUACACUUGGCAAACCAAGGGGAAUGGACGUUUGCAUCACAACAACAGCUGAAACCGAUCAAGAAGCCCAGCGACUCUUGGCUCUCAUGGGAAUGCCUUUCAGAGAGAGUAGUGGUUCUGCAGGUGUGAUGAGGAAAAAGAAGCUAAAGUCCCACCAUUUUGAUUCCAAAUCCAAGGGAAGAGCUCGGAGGUAAUGAGUGCAUUUUAGGAACAAGGCUUUUACAUUUCCUCAAUUCAUCUGUUGUAUUUUUACUAGAAAAAACUAUACUCUAGCAAAU